rnacentral:rRNA from 1 species
UACAGAGGGUGCAAGCGUUGUUCGGAAUUAUUGGGCGUAAAGCGCGUGUAGGCGGCUUUGCAAGUCGGAUGUGAAAUCCCCGGGCUCAACCCGGGAAGUGCACCCGAAACUGCGUGGCUUGAGUACCGGAGAGGUUGGUGGAAUUCUCGGUGUAGAGGUGAAAUUCGUAGAUAUCGAGAGGAACACCGGUGGCGAAGGCGGCCAACUGGACGAGUACUGACGCUGAGACACGAAAGCGUGGGGAGCAAACAGG